AGAGUUUGAUUCUGGCUCAGGAUGAACGCUAGCGACAGGCUUAACACAUGCAAGUCGAGGGGCAGCAUAAAAGUAGCAAUACUUUGGUGGCGACCGGCGCACGGGUGAGUAACGCGUAUGCAACCUACCUAUCAGAGGGGAAUAACCCGGCGAAAGUCGGACUAAUACCGCAUAAAACAGGGACACCGCAUGGUGAUAUUUGUUAAAGAAAUUCGCUGAUAGAUGGGCAUGCGUUCCAUUAGGUAGUUGGUGAGGUAACGGCUCACCAAGCCGACGAUGGAUAGGGGAACUGAGAGGUUGGUCCCCCACACUGGUACUGAGACACGGACCAGACUCCUACGGGAGGCAGCAGUGAGGAAUAUUGGUCAAUGGGCGAGAGCCUGAACCAGCCAAGUCGCGUGAAGGAAGAAGGAUCUAUGGUUCGUAAACCUCUUUUGCAGGGGAAUAAAGUGCAGGACGUGUCCUGUUUUGUAUGUACCCUGAGAAUAAGGAUCGGCUAACUCCGUGCCAGCCGCCGC
rnacentral:rRNA from 1 species